CGGACGGGUGAGUAACGCGUGGGUAACCUGCCUCACACUGGGGGACAACAGUUAGAAAUGACUGCUAAUACCGCAUAAGCGCACAGGACCGCAUGGUCCGGUGUGAAAAACUCCGGUGGUGUGAGAUGGACCCGCGUUUGAUUAGCUAGUUGGUGGGGUAACGGCCUACCAAGGCGACGAUCGGUAGCUGGUCUGAGAGGACGACCAGCCACACUGGGACUGAGACACGGCCCAG
rnacentral:rRNA from 1 species